UACGGCCGCAAGGUUAAAACUCAAAUGAAUUGACGGGGGCCCGCACAAGCGGUGGAGCAUGUGGUUUAAUUCGAUGCAACGCGAAGAACCUUACCUGGUCUUGACAUCCACAGAACUUAGCAGAGAUGCUUUGGUGCCUUCGGGAACUGUGAGACAGGUGCUGCAUGGCUGUCGUCAGCUCGUGUUGUGAAAUGUUGGGUUAAGUCCCGCAACGAGCGCAACCCUUAUCCUUUGUUGCCAGCGGUCCG
rnacentral:rRNA from 1 species